CAGUAGCCACGGUAAAACGAGGGGUGCAAGCGUUAUUCGGAUUGAUUGGGUGUAAAGGGUGUGCAGACGGCUUAUUAAGUCACUUGUUAAAUUCCUCGGCCUAACUGAAGGUCUGCAAGUGAUACUGAUGAGCUAGAGGGUGGAAGAGAGAAGUGGAAUUCUCGGAGUAGCGGUAAAAUGCGUAGAUCUCGAGAGGAACACCAAUGGCGAAGGCAGCUUCUUGGUCCAUUCCUGACGUUCAUACACGAAAGCGUGGGGAGCAAACAGGAUUAGAUACCCCCGUAGUCCCUGUCUCUUAUAA
rnacentral:rRNA from 1 species